AGACGGAGGGCGCAAGCGUUGUUCGGAAUUACUGGGCGUAAAGGGCAGGUAGGUGGUCUGUUAAGUCUUCUGUGAAAAUCCGGGGCUCAACCUCGCGAAAUGCAGGUGAAACUGGCAGACUGGAGACCGGUAGAGGCUAGCGGAAUUCCUGGUGUAGCGGUGGAAUGCGUAGAUAUCAGGAAGAACACCUGUGGCGAAGGCGGCUAGCUGGGCCGGUUCUGACACUAAACUGCGAAAGCGUGGGGAGCAAACAGGAUUAGAAACCCCUGUAGUCC
rnacentral:rRNA from 1 species